GUGACAGUUCGACUAAAUGUUCUUAGAAGUAUUUUCCAACCUUAAUGAUACUAUGAUUCUAUGUUUCUAUGAUUCCUGGGGAGGGAAUAGCCAGUCUCACCAAACAAAGGAAUUCUACUGUUUCUCCUGUAGCUUCUCCAGCGUAUUUCCCUAAUGGAGAGUUUAGAAAAACCUGACCCCUAGUCAUACCGUGCCACUAAUGCUGCAGCUCCAAGCUUGUGGAACCUGAGGUGGAGCAAGCAAGUGCCAGUAAGGUUAAAGUAACUGAAGUGGCCAAAAGUGGCUAAAGUGACUCCUCAGCACCUGGACUGAAGCUACUUGGAAUCUCUUUUGCCAGCAGCACAAGCAGAGCCUGCUUGAGAGUAGCAGCACCUAAAAAAGCUUAUCUGCAUGCAGCUCUCCUGAAUUCAAUCAAAUUCAUCUGAACUAUUUCAAAUUCCACUGGAGGAGGAGACAGGAGGAUUUAGUAGACAUUGCCUGCUGAGAAGAAACAAGGGGCGAUAACUCAGGGAAAGCCUAAAAGAGUAGGACCUGUCAUGCAGCCUCCUUAACUAUGUCGUUCCUAACUGCAUUUGUUACAGUCUUAGCCAUGAUCUUGCCCAAUCCCAGCUGCGUACACCUGUGUGCUCACUUAGAGCCCGUUUUUUGCACCUAUGUGAAGCCUACUCAGAUUUUGAAUACGUAUGAGUUUUGCAACAAUUUACAUUUUCUGUAUUGGUGUAACUUUAGAUAUUUAGUUUCAGCUCUGGCUCAACAUAGUACAUCAGACGUUUUAAAGAUAUAUUUUUUUUUUCCAUAAGAGGAAAAGUAAUUUUAAAGUUGGGUAAAGACAAGGGGAGGUAAGGUGAUAUGGGCCGGUUUGUUUAGCAAUAGGGAUCUGUUUAUUAGUUUAAGGACCAACAUAUUAGUUUAGCAAAAGGAAUCAAUGAAUGCUAAUUCUAAAACUUUCCUUUUCGCUUUUCUUGGUGUGUGAGCAGCCCUGUUUUCUCUUAAUUCUGCUUCACAAGAAGCACCAGAGACAUAAUAGACUGCUUAUCUUUGCAUUUCAUGAGGUGCUAGGAUGUUUUCCUCAUAUUUUCACAUAUAUGGUUUUGGAAAUUGCUGAUUAUGGGUUAACAACCAAUAGAAAUGUGCCAAACAGGGGAAAAACGGCUGAAGGUCAGCUAAAAGUCUCAAUGAUGAAGCUGAUGGUGGAAAAGUGGGGAUAAAGUAAGUGGGCAUAUGACCACCCUAAAUGCAACCAUGCAUGCCCAGAGGGAUAUUAGCAUAUGUUAAUGUGUUCUUGGAAAAGAAUGAAUACGUAUGUCAGUGUACUGCAUAUGCAUGUCUUAACUAUUUAACUGUAGAACCUGAACUCUGAGAGAGUGCGCUUGUUCGUCAAGUUGUCCAAUUCAUAUCAUGAGGAAUAAAGGAAAGGCACUUUCUAACACUACAUUGGAGUUAGAGGGUUUUCUUCCCAGAUAUUGGAUGACAAGGUAUCUACCUUGAGGAAAGAUAUUAUGAAGACCUACUUACAGAUGCUCUAGUUUUUUGGCCAUAUUUUGAUAAUUAGCAUGGAAACCAUGGACCUGAUUUGAGCUAAGCUGUUUGAUCACGUUUUGGAUGACAAGCUGCCCUUUAGCUUGUGUAAAUACGUGAUAUAACUCAUCACCAUUUUCAGUAUAAACCAGCAAGUUCAUCUAAACAUAUCAGUUUUGGUGAAGCCAAAUGUCUUUAUUGCCUAGGGUGAUUUUUUUUAAACUUAUUUCUAAAACUGUGGGAUUUCCAAUUAAAAAAAAAAAUCCCAAAUGUAUUUAUGAAUAAAAAAGGAUAAACACAGUGAUUGCGGAUGCACAUUUUAAUUAACUGGAAAAUCUCUUCUUCUUUUUGUUGAUCCCCUAUUUCCUUCUUUUCCAAGGCUCAUGUGUGAUGAUUGUAGAAAGAUGAAUAAUGUUUUAGUCAUACAACCUUCAUUAAAGCUAUUGAAAAUGUGCUGUUAAUUCCCUGAGUUCAACUUUGAAAACACGAAAGUUACUGUUUAUCCCUGUAUCUAAG
rnacentral:lncRNA from 1 species